rnacentral:tRNA from 1 species
GUUAGGGUGGCAGAGCCAGGUUAUGCAAAAGUCCUAAGCCCUUUCACACAGAAGUUCAAAUCUUCUCCCCAACA